CCCGGGAAACUGGGAAUAAUUCCGGAUAACGCACAUAUGCUGGAAUGCUUUAUGCGUAAAAUGGAUUCGUCUGCCCAAGGAUGGGUCUGCGGCCUAUCAGGUAGUAGUGGGUGUAAUGUACCUACUAGCCUACAACGGGUACGGGUUGUGAGAGCAAGAGCCCGGAGAUGGAUUCUGAGACAUGAAUCCAGGCCCUACGGGGCGCAGCAGGCGCGAAAACUUUACAAUGCGGGAAACCGUGAUAAGGGGACACCGAGUGCUAGCAUCAUAUGCUGGCUGUCCAGGUGUGUAAAAUACACUUGUUAGCAAGGGCCGGGCAAGACCGGUGCCAGCCGCCGCGGUAACACCGGCGGCCCGAGUGGUGAUCGUGAUUAUUGGGUCUAAAGGGUCCGUAGCCGGUUUGGUCAGUCCUCCGGGAAAUCUGAUAGCUCAACUAUUAGGCUUUCGGGGGAUACUGCCAGACUUGGAACCGGGAGAGGUAAGAGGUUACUACAGGGGUAGGAGUGAAAUCUUGUAAUCCCUGUGGGACCACCUGUGGCGAAGGCGUCUUACCAGAACGGGUUCGACGGUGAGGGACGAAAGCUGGGGGCACGAACCGGAUUAGAUACCCGGGUAGUCCCAGCCGUAAACGAUGCUCGCUAGGUGUCAGGCAUGGCGCGACCGUGUCUGGUGCCGCAGGGAAGCCGUGAAGCGAGCCACCUGGGAAGUACGGCCGCAAGGCUGAAA
rnacentral:rRNA from 1 species